rnacentral:rRNA from 1 species
CGGGACACGUGGUAUCCUGUCUGAAUAUGGGGGGACCAUCCUCCAAGGCUAAAUACUCCUGACUGACCGAUAGUGAACCAGUACCGUGAGGGAAAGGCGAAAAGAACCCCGGCGAGGGGAGUGAAAAAGAACCUGAAACCGUGUACGUACAAGCAGUGGGAGCCUCUUUAUGGGGUGACUGCGUACCUUUUGUAUAAUGGGUCAGCGACUUAUAUUCUGUAGCAAGGUUAACCGAAUAGGGGAGCCGAAGGGAAACCGAGUCUUAACUGGGCGUUAAGUUGCAGGGUAUAGACCCGAAACCCGGUGAUCUAGCCAUGGGCAGGUUGAAGGUUGGGUAACACUAACUGGAGGACCGAACCGACUAAUGUUGAAAAAUUAGCGGAUGACUUGUGGCUGGGGGUGAAAGGCCAAUCAAACCGGGAGAUAGCUGGUUCUCCCCGAAAGCUAUUUAGGUAGCGCCUCGUGAAUUCAUCUCCGGGGGUAGAGCACUGUUUCGGCAAGGGGGUCAUCCCGACUUACCAACCCGAUGCAAACUGCGAAUACCGGAGAAUGUUAUCACGGGAGACACACGGCGGGUGCUAACGUCCGUCGUGAAGAGGGAAACAACCCAGACCGCCAGCUAAGGUCCCAAAGUCAUGGUUAAGUGGGAAACGAUGUGGGAAGGCCCAGACAGCCAGGAUGUUGGCUUAGAAGCAGCCAUCAUUUAAAGAAAGCGUAAUAGCUCACUGGUCGAGUCGGCCUGCGCGGAAGAUGUAACGGGGCUAAACCAUGCACCGAAGCUGCGGCAGCGACGCUUAUGCGUUGUUGGGUAGGGGAGCGUUCUGUAAGCCUGCGAAGGUGUGCUGUGAGGCAUGCUGGAGGUAUCAGAAGUGCGAAUGCUGACAUAAGUAACGAUAAAGCGGGUGAAAAGCCCGCUCGCCGGAAGACCAAGGGUUCCUGUCCAACGUUAAUCGGGGCAGGGUGAGUCGACCCCUAAGGCGAGGCCGAAAGGCGUAGUCGAUGGGAAACAGGUUAAUAUUCCUGUACUUGGUGUU